UGUUGUUUUUUAUUUUUUUUUUCUCUUUGCCAGCUGUAAUACGACGUCGUUUCUCAGUUUAGGUUUAUUUCUCUUUAUCUCUCAUGAAUCUCUUUCUACCUGCUCCGCCGGAGCUGUCGUGUUUCUCCUCUCCCUUGCUACCAAAUCCGCCGUACCAUUCGUCACCUUCUGAUUUCCUGAUUUCUCUCCUCUGCGACUGUAGCAGCGUCACAUAUUCCCCGCGUUUCAGCUUCUUCACAUGGCUUUUCCGGCGUUGGCUAUCACGUCGCCCGUCAACUAUUACACCGAUUCAUUUGCUUAUAAAUGCUCACACAACCCUCACUCCAGCACCAUUCACACAACCCCUUGCUGCAGAAAUUGCAUUAACUAUGGGUCAAUCUGAUUAUUUGGUUGAUGUGAUUGGUAGGUGUUUCUGAGGAGAAGCAGUAUCUGAAGAGUUCCAUAGUUACUAGGGUUAUACAGAUUGAACUAACAGAUGACAGAACACAGAAAGUGGAAGGCAAACAAGGAAAGUGUAAGUAGAAAUAGCACCACUCACAAAAAAUGGUAGUUGAUUUAACUGGUGUUUCAAAUUGUCAAAUUCCAAUUUCCUAUACUUCUCUCACUAAAUCACUAUGUUGUGAGCUGGUUCUCAUUGGCUCUGUUAAGUACAUUUUCUUUCCUCCCUACAUUUUCUACCUCAAAAUCAACUUCGCUGUCUGCUUUAAUUACUUUUGGAUUUGUUAUGUCUCUAUUUACUAUUAUUGCUAAUGUCCACUUGAAGUAUAUUAGGUAAUGCAACUAUUAAUAUUUUUACUUUGAAGUAACUUUUUAACACUCCUAAUUCAGUAUCUUUAUUUGCAGCAUUGGUUUCUAUUAUAUGGCAAAGAUCGCAGUAACACCUUCAAUAGUUAUGCACUCAUGUAGAAUUUGUUCUGUAUAGGAAGAAAGUUUCUUGGCCCAAUGGAUCUAGCUUGACUAGCAAAAUCUUAUCAAAAUGUCUACCUAUAUGGAAGGAGCAACCUGCAUUUCACGUGUCACAUGUGUAUCUAGAUACUUUUCAUUGCAAUGGUAAUCUUUGGGUGACAACGGAACAA